GGCCUGGAACUAUGCGAUUUCAACGCCCGAACCGUGUCAGGACUUGACCGUAGCAGCACUAAGGGAUGCUUGGGAUAGGCGUAGUCUCCGGGCUACU
rnacentral:SRP_RNA from 1 species